rnacentral:rRNA from 1 species
CACAUGCAAGUCGAGCGAGAACCUUUUCUAGCUUGCUAGAAAAGAAGAAAGCGGCGAACGGGUGAGUAACGUGUUGGUAUCUGCCCCCCAGUCAGGGAUAGCCCAGGGAAACUUGGCUUAAUACCGGAUAGCUGGUAACAGUAAAGAUUUAUUGCUGGGGGAGGAGCCUACAUUCUAUCAGCUAGUUGGUGAGGUAAUAGCUCACCAAGGCGAUGACGGAUAGCUGGUCUGAGAGGAUGACCAGCCACAAUGGAACUGAGACACGGUCCAUACUCCUACGGGAGGCAGCAGUGAGGAAUCUUCCACAAUGGACGCAAGUCUGAUGGAGCGACACCGCGUGAAGGAUGAAGGUCUAACGAUUGUAAACUUCUUUUCUGAGGGAGGAUAAUGACAGUACCUCAGGAAUAAGGGGCGGCUAAUUAUGUGCCAGCAGCCGCGGUAAUACAUAAGCCCCGAGCAUUACUCGGAAUUAUUGGGU